UACGUAGGAGGCGAGCGUUGUCCGGAGUUACUGGGCGUAAAGCGCACGCAGGCGGUCCUAUUAGUCUGGGGUGACAGUUCCCGGCUUAACUGGGAGGGUGCGCUAUAGACUGUGGGGCUAGAGUGCGGGAGAGGAAAGUGGAAUUCCCGGUGUAGCGGUGAAAUGCGCAGAUAUCGGGAGGAACACCGGUGGCGAAGGCGGUUCUCUGGGCCUUACCUGACACUGAGGAGCGAAAGCGUGGGGAGCGAACAGG
rnacentral:rRNA from 1 species